rnacentral:sRNA from 1 species
UUCUCCGGAAUUCAGGGAUAUGCUCUAGUUGGUCGAACUCUUUACUUAAAAUAUACAAAUUUAAGAUACUCAACAGAGGGGAUCUACUUUUGAUAGAGAGAGUUGCAGAGACAGUGAUCGGUCCCAUUUUGUUGAAUGCAUAAACAAAUUGCACGACGGGGCCAACCUAUGGGCUGGAGGCCGUAGGCCGUACACAGCAAACAUGGCUACUCACCAUCCACAAAGUCAGGGUGGUUUCAAGGUUGCCAUGGUGCGAUGUGCCACCGUAGCUCGGUGCGGUGCGCGACGUUGUAUGCGCCGCAAAAGUGACCACAAUUAGCGCUGUCAUCACUUUUUGGCCA